AAAAAUGUGAAGUACAUGCUACUUAUAGCCAAAUAUUCCGAAACCCUAAUACUCAAAACGACGAAGUAUUGGGACGGAUUAAGAAUUGUACUCGACCCAUGUGGUCGAGUGGGAGGUCGAGUGAUUAGCUGGAGUCUUCUUUUCUUCUUUGUGCUCGAGUGUCUAGUUGAGUGCGGAAUGAAGAAGGCUCUGAAGCUUGUCAUCGAGUAUGCAGUCGAGUGGUGUGAUGGUGAUACUCGACUUCCAGGUAGAGUGAGGAGGUCGAGUAGUGGUCUAGCAAUGGGAUGAAGUCACUCAACCUGGUGGUCGAGUGAUGUGAACGAGUGGUGGUCAGAAGAUGGGGAUGAAGUCACUCGGCCUGGGGGUCGAGUGAUGUGAUCGAGUGGUGGUCAGAAGAUGGAGAUGAAGUCACUCGACCUGGGGGUCGAGUGAUGUGAUCGAGUGGUGGUGUCUUCUACUCGACCUGAGGGUCGAGUGGUCUCUUGAGAUCCUGAAGCUCCUACUCGACCUCUGGGUCGAGUGGUUUGUCAUGAUCAGGUCCGCUUCUUCCAGUUAGCUCGUCGACGACUCCAAAUCACCUGAAAACAACACAAAUACGCAACAUGCAUGCAAAACUAUCCUAAACAUGCAAAGUGAUGACAAAUGAUGUGAAAUGGUAUAAAACAGUGAUGAUAUGAUGCUAAAAUGAUGACAAAUGGAUGCUCAAAACAUGCAAAAUACACACUUCUCAACUCCCCCAAACUUAGUCUUUGCUUACCCUCAAACAAACAAUCAAGAACAAGCUGGAGGUGAGGUUUGAAAGCGGGGACUCAGAGCCAAAGCACCAGAUGAACCAGAUGAAAUCAAUGUCCAAGUUGAAAGUUCUAAGCUGCAAGAUCGAAUUCUACUUAAAAACGUUAGCCAUGCCUCAUCAUCAAUCAAUCCGACUCAUAUGCUCGACCUGCACAAGUUUUCAAAUCUACCAACCCCUUUAACAUUCAUUAGUUCUGGAACGUGAAUCAAGCAAUGCAUCAUCAAAGAACUCAUUCGGCUAAGGUAAAAGGUCAAGAGACAAAGAUGGUCCCUUACAGAAUAGGCUUCAGUAACAGGGGAUCUCUCAAAAAAAAAUUAAGCUUUAGUUGAAUGCUAAAGGUAAGUCCCAAGCUAUGCAUACAGAGAUAAGAUCCCAUCUACCUAGAGUACAUCAAAUGAAGCUCUAAUAGUAAUCCCAUCUCCAAUCCCAAUACAAGAACUAAAUUCUACCCUUUGCAUUCAUGAAUCUUUUAAGCCCUUUUUCUAAUCAUUCUUUUCUUUUGUCUUAACUCUAGGAGAAGCUUUCUCAACACUUUGAUACAUCUAGCGGAUUUGGAUUUCUUUAACAACUAAGGUUCCUGUUUUUAACAUUUUAAAACCAAGGGCUUUCGCCCAUCUUCAAUAGCUAACAAGAACUCUUUCUUUUCUUUUCAAAUCCCAAAACCUUUACUAGACUUUUUCUGUUUCUUUAGCUUACUUCACCUAGAGUCUUUUACCUUUUCUUAUCAAUGAAUCAACCCUUUUUUUUUCUUUUAAACACAUCCCAACCCAAAGUAUAAGCGCCCACCUAGUCCUAUCUAGUCCGAAAAAUGCGAACUAGAACUACAUGAGACACUAUCUUUGUCGUUACGAACCUAACACUUUCUACCAAGCUUAAUCGGAAUAAGACCUCACAAACACUCACAAGUGAUAUAGGGAUUGAAAGAAAGUCUAGGUUUGGGUUUGGGUUAACUGCUCUAAUAAGGAGAGUCAGCUACUUGGAUUAACAAGAGUGAUCUAAAUGAAUAAGAAAAUCCAAGUAUUUUAGGGUAUCCAUGAGUUCAAAUUUGAUGCAGACAUAAUAAUUAAAGAUCAGAUUCAGGUUCAAAUUGAUAGGGAAUGGUAUCAGAUCAUGAUAGUGUGGUCGAGUAGAGCAAUCUAGGCAUGGUUCAGUUUUAUUUCAAAUUCAUUGACUACGCAACAGACAACUAGCAAUGAUGGCACUGAGUUUAUCCGGUGAAUCAAAAUGCUUACAAGGCUAUCUCAUCAUCAUCCCCUAUGCAUAUGCAACAAUCCUAAAUGAAACACUCUAGACUCGAUCCUAAAUGUAAUGCAACUACAUGAACACUCUAUUUUUGUGAAAUCAUUUUCUGAAAUUUUUCAAAUUUUUUUGGUUUUUCUAUGCCUUAGAUGAAUGCAGACUCAAAAAUAUACACAAUGCAACACACACUUCCUGAGCCCUCUCCCAAACUUAAAUCACACAGUCCACUGUGUGAAUAAACUUGGAAGAGAGUACUCAGGAUAAAUCCAAUCACAGAAACAAAAAAUGAAGAAACAAAUCACAACAGAUGAUAUAAUACAAUGAUGAAGUGAGGCGCUUACCUCAGUCGAAGAAUGAACGUAGUUGCUCGUCAAUGGCUGCCUGUGAUUGCUCCCAGGCCAUAGACGAACCGCCCUGUUCUAUCUCAGCUCCAGCAUGUGGGUACUCGACCUCAGUGCCUCUAUGGCGGCCAGCACCGCCAUGAGUAUACUCGACCUCCAUUCUUCUGCUGCGGCCAGCACCGCAGUCGAGUGAUCUCCUGCCGUGGAUAAACUAAAACAUGGUCGAGUAUCCUUCAUUGCUCUGUGGUCGAGUAUAGUGUUGUACUCUCAGAGCUAGAAUCCACUUCACUCAUCUCUUUAUACUUAUCUCCUGAAAACACUAACCAAAUGCAUCAAAAACAACAAGGAAAAAUAAAGACAUGUACAAAGAUAGACAUGGGAUUUGCUCCUAC
rnacentral:sRNA from 1 species